rnacentral:lncRNA from 1 species
AAGCCAGCAGAGCCGGCAGAAGGAAGUGGCUGGCAUUUCAGUGUAUCUUCUGCAAAUAGAGAGGCUGAGGCUGUGCCCGAAUUGAAUUUCUGAGUGACACCUCCUACUGCUCUUUCUCUUGGAGUUUAACCGUGGAUUGGGGUGGAGUAGGGGGAGAGCCCAACGAGGGGUUAACUUAUGCUGCAGCUCUGACCUUUUGCGCUAAGGAUGAGAAAAAAAAAGCCAUCUGUUUCAGAAGGAAUCAGGUUGUUGAGUUUCACAGAUCCAGUGGCUGUGGGAUUGUAAGACUUCACUAUCACUAUCCCUGUCGCAUAGCCACAGCCCACACUACCACCCCCACCGAACCCGAAGCUCCUGGAGGGGAAAAUGCUUUUUCUCCCAAGGGUCCUUACGAAAGUUCAGGACUCGCGAGGUUAUAAACAAACAAACAAACAAACAAACAAUCGAUACGAUUUUGAGCCCUCCGACCCCGGAGUCCAAACAAAUGGCCAUAGAACUGUGGGUCUGGAGGACACCGCUCCGAUCCAUGCGGUCUCUCCGGGUAUUAAAUGGAUUUAUCGUCAGCCUGGUUGCUUGGAAUUCUAUUCUGUCCUUCAUUUUUCACAGCGGAACAAAGUUGUCUGGACCCUCCAGCCAGCGCUGGGCAGAAGCAAGCAAGGAUGCUCUUGGAAACGCGGUGGCCCAAGCCUAAGCGGCCAUGCUCGGGGCUAGGAGCGGACCCCACGGCCACUCACCCCGGGGCGCUGCGACCGAAGCUGCCGCGGCCACUGCCACCCGGGGGCUCGCCGGCCGGCUCCGCGCAUCCCGCCCUCUCAAUGGACUUUCUUACCUCUUAAUGUAGUUCCUGCCAUACAGGAUCUGUUGCAGCAAGGUCACCAAGGCAAAGGCGCAGAUGAAGAUGAAGAGCAAAGUUCGGCUCCCCAACAAAUCCCGGUUGGCCGAGGGGUCCGCGUAGCGCAUCCUGGCUACCGGGCGCCGCGGGCGCGGGGUACGGGGCGGCCAGGCAAUGACUCGCGGGGUUCCGGGGCCCCGGGGGGCGCGCGGCCGACUUGGCGCCUCACGGUGCGGUCAGGCAGGCGCCGGUGCCGGGUAGCCGCCGAUUUCCCCGCGGAGGGGAGACGCCAGGUGCCACGAGCCGGAGGCGGCCCCUCCCGCCGAGGUGGCGGCCAAUGGGGAGCAAGACCCGGGCUCCGUCCCCUGUGCGCCCCAGCGCGCCGCGCAUCGACCCCUCCAGUCCGGCGCCGGAUCGCGGUUGCCCAGCGCGCUGUGCCCUGCCGGGGGCGGGCCACGUUUGAUCUCCGGGCCCGCAGCAAGGGAUCGCGAAGGUUGGCCUCCGGUUCUGCCGAUAGGGACGGGGGGAGGGGGCGUAC